UUGUAUAAUGGGUCAGCGACUUAUAUUCUGUAGCAAGGUUAACCGAAUAGGGGAGCCGGAGGGAAACCGAGUCUUAAUUGGGCGUUAAGUUGCAGGGUAUAGACCCGAAACCCGGUGAUCUAGCCAUGGGCAGGUUGAAGGUUGGGUAACACUAACUGGAGGACCGAACCGACUAAUGUUGAAAAAUUAGCGGAUGACCUGUGGCUGGGGGUGAAAGGCCAAUCAAACCGGGAGAUAGCUGGUUCUCCCCGAAAGCUAUUUAGGUAGCGCCUCGUGAAUUCAUCUCCGGGGGUAGAGCACUGUUUCGGCUAGGGGGCCAUCCCGGCUUACCAACCCGAUGCAAACUGCGAAUACCGGAGAAUGUUAUCACGGGAGACACACGGCGGGUGCUAACGUCCGUCGUGAAGAGGGAAACAACCCAGACCGCCAGCUAAGGUCCCAAAGUCAUGGUUAAGUGGGAAACGAUGUGGGAAGGCCCAGACAGCCAGGAUGUUGGCUUAGAAGCAGCCAUCAUUUAAAGAAAGCGUAAUAGCUCACUGGUCGAGUCGGCCUGCGCGGAAGAUGUAACGGGGCUAAACCAU
rnacentral:rRNA from 1 species